CAUAGAUUCAAAAAUACCUCGUCUUCAACAUUUUCACACAAAAUGUCUUCUCGUCAAAAAAACUAUGCAAAUGACGAAGACAUCCUUUUUAUGUCAAGUUUAUAUGCAAAUUUUACAAGACCCAAUUAUAGGGACUUAUGAAUCAUCAAAUCUAUUAUGGAAGCGUGUGGAAGAUGCAUUCGUCAAAGAUAAAGACCCGACUUGGCCACGACGUACGCAAAGAUCUAUGCAGGCUCGUAUUCAAACCAUCUAGAAAGCAACAAAGAAAUUCUGUUAAUGUAUUCAAGCAGCUGAAGCAAGAAAUCAAAGUGGAGCUUCACACGUAGACGCACCCUUGAUGGUUCCUCGUCAUCAAAGCCCAAAAGAGUAAAGAAAGCAAAACUGAAGACAAAAAUAUUCAAAGAUACGACAUCUCUCAUCAUGGCUCUAGAAAAACAAAAUGAGUUUCUAAGGGAUGGCAUCUAAAAAGCAAACUCGCAAAUGACUCUGUUCUUGGAAAAUCAAAAGGCGAGCAUAUUAUCUAUGAAUUUGAGCUCCAUAAACGAUCCCCUAAGUCGUGCAUUUUUUCAAGCUCAAAAAGAACGCAUUUUACGGAAAAAAGCUCAGCAAGAAGAUCAACCAAAUGAUUAUGCAGUUAGAACAUAUUCUUCGGACUUUAAUGAUAUUGGAGGAUCUGGUUCAGAUUUGCCGGAUUAUUAGAUUAGGUUUUUAUUUAGUUAUCGUCAUUUUAUUUUUAGUACUCCUAUUUGAAAUGUGUUUUUUAAUUUGUAGGUUUAGGUAUUAUGCUCUGUGUUUUUUUAAAAUUAUUAAUGUUAUUUUAAUUAUUUUUUUGUUAAGUAUAUGUAAUUUUAUUUAAGUGAGGUUAAUUAAAUUCAUUAGCUCAUUAACUGAA